UGCUUGUACGGCGGUGAGCGGCAAAAGCUCAAAUUUGAAAUCUGGUACCUUCGGUGCCCGAGUUGUAAUUUGGAGAGGGCAACUUUGGGGCCGUUCCUUGUCUAUGUUCCUUGGAACAGGACGUCAUAGAGGGUGAGAAUCCCGUGUGGCGAGGAGUGCGGUUCUUUGUAAAGUGCCUUCGAAGAGUCGAGUUGUUUGGGAAUGCAGCUCUAAGUGGGUGGUAAAUUCCAUCUAAAGCUAAAUAUUGGCGAGAGACCGAUAGCGAACAAGUACAGUGAUGGAAAGAUGAAAAGAACUUUGAAAAGAGAGUGAAAAAGUACGUGAAAUUGUUGAAAGGGAAGGGCAUUUGAUCAGACAUGGUGUUUUGUGCCCUCUGCUCCUUGUGGGUAGGGGAAUCUCGCAUUUCACUGGGCCAGCAUCAGUUUUGGUGGCAGGAUAAAUCCAUAGGAAUGUAGCUUGCCUCGGUAAGUAUUAUAGCCUGUGGGAAUACUGCCAGCUGGGACUGAGGACUGCGACGUAAGUCAAGGAUGCUGGCAUAAUGGUUAUAUGCCGCUCGUCUUGAAACACGGACCAA
rnacentral:rRNA from 1 species